AUUGAACGCUGGCGGCAGGCCUAACACAUGCAAGUCGAGCGCGCGGCGGGCGGGGGAGUAAUGUCCGGGAAAAUGCCUGAUGGGGGGGGAUAACUACUGGAAACGGUAGCUAAUACCGCAUACCCUCAGGUAUGCCCCGAUGGGAUUAGCUAGUGGGUGGGGUAAAGGCUCACCUCGACGACGAUCCCUAGCUGGUCUGAGAGGAUGACCAGCCACACGGGAACUGAGACACGGUCCAGACUCCUACGGGAGGCAGCAGUGGGGAAUAUUGCACAAUGGGCGCAAGCCUGAUGCAGCCAUGCCGCGUGUAUGAAGAAGGCCUUCGGGUUGUAAAGUACUUUCAGCGGGGAGGCGUUACCCGCAGAAGAAGCACCGGCUAACUCCGUGCCAGCAGCCGCGGUAAUUC
rnacentral:rRNA from 1 species